UAAUAAUGAUAUUCAUCACACAGUGGAUCAGUUUUUGUCCGUCACUAAAUAAAUGGGAUCACAUAAACAAAGCGGACAGAUGCAGACCUGUUGGUCAGGUGGCACCAGCUGCCGCCCUCCACUUUUCUGUUGUGAUUUGAUCUU